AAUGUUGUGCAUCAGCUCUCAGUAACCUUAGAAGAUUUAUAUAAUGGUGCAACAAGAAAACUAGCUCUGCAAAAGAAUGUGAUUUGUGACAAAUGUGAAGGCCGAGGUGGUAAGAAAGGAGCAGUAGAGUGCUGUCCCAAUUGCCGAGGUACUGGGAUGC